rnacentral:rRNA from 1 species
AUUGAACGCUGGCGGCAGGCCUAACACAUGCAAGUCGAACGAGUGGCGGACGGGUGAGUAAGGUCUGAAAAACUGCCCGACGGAGGGGGAUAACUACUGGAACAGGUAGCUAAUACCGCAUAACGUCGGCUGUGGCCCGAGUGGAUUAGCUAGUAGGUGGGGUAACGGCUCACCGAGGCGACGAUCCCUAGCAGGUCUGAGAGGAUGAACAGCCACACUGGAACUGAGACACGGCCCAGACUCCUACGUGAGGCAGCAGGGGGGAAUAUUGGACAAUGGGGGAAACCCUGAUCCAGCCAUGCCGCGUGUGCGAUGAAGGCGUUCGGGUUGUAAAGCACUUUUGGCAGGAAAGCGGUACCUGCAGAGUAAGCACCGGCUAACUACGUGCCAGCAGCCGCGGUAAUAC